rnacentral:rRNA from 1 species
AUUGAACGCUAGCGGCAUGCCUUACACAUGCAAGUCGAACGGAGUGGCGAACGGGGGAGUAAUGUAUCGGAACGUGCCCAGUAGCGGGGGAUAACUACGCGAAAGCGUAGCUGAUACCGCAUACGAUAGGAGCGGCCGAGAUCGUAUUAGCUAGUUGGGUGGGUAACGGCCCACCAAGUCGACGAUCCGUAGCUGGUUUGAGAGGACGACCAGCCACACUGGGACUGAGACACGGCCCAGACUCCUACGGGAGGCAGCAGUGGGGAAUUUUGGACAAUGGGGGAAACCCUGAGCCAGCCAGCCCGCGUGUGCGAUGAAGGCCUUCGGGUUGUAAAGCACUUUUGGCAGGAAAGCGGUACCUGCAGAGUAAGCACCGGCUAACUACGUGCCAGCAGCCGCGGUAAUUC